UGAAAAAGGAACAAAAAAUUUAGGGUUGGAGGACAAAGGGUACGAAGAUAUAUUUAGGAGUAGUAAUGGAUGGUUGAGGUGGCAAUGUGUUACUGAUGCAUCCCCAUGCAUGGCAAUUGGCAUUCACAACUUGGUUUAGCUUUAAGUUCUUCAAGUCUACACAGUACUCAAUUCAAGCUCGACUUACAAUCAACCCUAAUCCAAUCCAUUUUAUUCAUUAGAUCGUCCAACAUGGGGGAUCGCAAAUUUGCAUAUCAGUUGGCGUAUUAACCUGCUUCUUUAGGCCACGUUUUGAUUGGCCUUGGACAUGGUGUUGUGCAUGGAUUAUUGAUUCUACCGUGUGAGCUUGGUUGGAAGAUAAUGACUUUAGUUUCAAGAUUUGUAUUAAUUCUCUUUAAGAUUUUAAUAGUUAGCACUAAUUGAUAAUUAGGGAUGCUCUCAACCUAAAAAUGAUUCCUAAUUUCAAGUUAUUACGAUUUUUAUA